UAGCUUUAAAAAGCCGAAAACCCCUCUUCCUUUUCCCGAUUCCCUUCUCUGUUCUCUGCGUCCCCGAUCCUCGCCACCGGUGAUUCUUCUCCUCUUCCCCCUCUCGGCGUCACCGACGCAGAGCAGCUACCUGAGCGUUGAGGAGGGAAGCUACAACUAUUCCUCUCUUCUUCCUCUCUCUCUCUCGCAGACGACCCAACACUGACGGAGGGUGAUUCUUCUCCGACGAUCUUGUUCUCUCCGCGUCGCCUGAGGUAUGUCGCCGGAUCGCGAAGGUACUGAAGUUUUCCAAGCCAUCUCUGGUGGAGCGAUCGCUUCCUCGGUGGUUUCUUGCGCACGAUCGACGGGAUCUGGCUCUAGGGCACCACGAGGAGCCUUUACUCACGUCGUUCCCAGCCGAUCGAUUCUCUUCAUUCAUCCUCUUUAAUCUAUUGCUGGAGAGUGAUCUGUUGCUCCACAUCUGCUGGAUCGAAAUGGGCGACACCACCUGGAAGCGAUUAAUCGAGGAGGAGACGUUGGAUCAGUAUACUGUGGAUUUCCUCUGUGCCGAUCACUGCUCUCUUCCUUUCUUGCGACUGUUGAGGUUUUGGUUGAAAAUUGGGGUUCGAUUGAGCUUCCGGGCAGAGGCUGGUAGGGCUGUGAGCUUGUGAUUCGUUGCUAUACCUCGAGGACCUUGAUCGAGGAUGAGCUGCGUGACGUGGGUGGUUUUGUUAGAUACAAGAUGUAUUGAGGGGGGUAUUCUUUCUUACUUCUUAUUUAGUUCUUUGAACUUAAAGCAUGACUAUAUUUUUGGAUGUUAAGUUUGCUUUACCUUAAAUCUGUAAGUUUGCUUGUUUUCCUACUUGUUACUUCUGCUUGAUCUUGGAUGUAAUCUAGUUUAAUUCGAUAUAGUCUUGACUCUUGUUAUCUGAACUCUGUAACAUAUACACAUGUUGAGUUUGUAUCAUAGGGAUGUCCAGUUUAUUUGGUUAUCAUGCUGAUUUUGUAUAUUGAUGUUGAGUAUACACAUGAUUGGUAUGUGUUGUUGGAGUUGCAUAAUUGAUUGACCAUUUGCAUUGUGGUGUAUGCAUAUACGUUUGUUGUGAUUAUUGGAGGCGUUAUUGGUUAUUGCAUAAUUGAUGAUAGUGUCUAUAUUGUGAUUAUUCACAUCAUGUUCAUCAUUCAUUAAAUGUCGACGACUAUUGUCUCACUUUAUGGUGGAGAGAGUUGUUAGUUAUUUUGGUUUAGUGCUGCACACUCGGCCACUCAUGGGUAGUGAUAGCUAGAGUAGUUACCGCUUGUCCUGUCGUGCCACCCGGUCACGAGGCUUGUGAUAUCCGACGUUGUGAGCAGUUAGGGACCCUGAUGCUAUGUAGUUAGAUAACUACUAGCGAACUAUCGUCUCGACCACUCUAUAGUGGGCUGGAGGGUAGUACAGUUAUCAUGGACCCAACCCCCUCGGCCAUACAUGGGUCGUGGUGUCUAGAAAGGUGGCGGGGGUGACUAUGGAGUAUGCAUGCGCAUUUUGCAUAUGAUGCGUGGUGCAUCUGUGGAGAUAUAUUCUCAUACAUGCCUAGUAGAUAUUAGUUGCAUGUGAUUGUGAGGUGUUGCACUUGUUUGAGCUAUGAUUACUGCAUUUGGUUGCCAUAUUUCAUACAUGUCAUUUAUUUUACAUGUAUAUGUUGUCGUGUAUAUAUAUAUAUAUAUAUAUAGGUGUUACGAGUAGAUCUGUGGCUGACCCGGUGAGUUUACUGAUCAUUGUAUUAUUGUAUUGAUUCUGGUUGGGUAUGUUCAUUUAUUGUGUCAGGUAGGAUCAUAUACAGUUGUUGUAUUAGAUAUGGUUAGGUAUGUUAUAUUUUGACAGCAUGAUCUUAUUCUUUAUUUCCCUAUGGAGAUUGUAUAUUUUGAUUCCUAUAUCAUUAUAUAAACCAUGCUUUAAUCAGUCUAUUAUCUGCUGAGUUAUUUAUACUCACCACCCCGUUUAUACCAUUAUGAUUUCAGGUAGUAGAUAGAUGAUAUAGAGUUGCUUGGAGUAUGUUGUCGGUCGAUCCCACUUCCCACAUCAUAUUUGAAGAUUUUUAUCGAUUUUAUUUCUGCUUGUAUUUUAGUAUUCAGCGGUUUUAGUAUUGUAUGAAUUUGUCUAUGUUUGGAGUUUGAUACGUGGUGUUUUGCUAUCGUAAUCUUGUGGCUGUGUAAGCUUAAUUGGCUAACAAACUUUAGUUGUGGACUGUGGAUUUUUUCUCUUUGUUUUUUCGCUGUGUUUUUGAUACAGCCGUGUUGGUUGAAUAUUAACUACGUGGUUAUUUCCAGUUUUGUUCCA